CCUACGGGUGGCAGCAGUGGGGAAUAUUGGGCAAUGGGCGCAAGCCUGACCCAGCAACGCCGCGUGAAGGAAGAAGGCUUUCGGGUUGUAAACUUCUUUUAUCAGGGACGAAACAAAUGACGGUACCUGAUGAAUAAGCCACGGCUAACUACGUGCCAGCAGCCGCGGUAAUACGUAGGUGGCAAGCGUUAUCCGGAUUUACUGGGUGUAAAGGGCGUGUAGGCGGGCUUGCAAGUCAGAUGUGAAAUUCCAGGGCUCAACCCUGGAACUGCAUUUGAAACUGUAGGUCUUGAGUGCUGGAGAGGCAAUCGGAAUUCCGUGUGUAGCGGUGAAAUGCGUAGAUAUACGGAGGAACACCAGUGGCGAAGGCGGAUUGCUGGACAGUAACUGACGCUGAGGCGCGAAAGCGUGGGGAGCAAACAGGAUUAGAUACCCCAGUAGUC
rnacentral:rRNA from 1 species